CGUCUCACCGUCACGAAACGUCCCAGAACAUCGAGUUUGUAGACAUUUUAACAGUCAAUAUCUUUUUAGUUAGGUCGAUAACUCCAAACUUUUUUGAUAUAUUCUGAAUCCUUACGAUUUGGAGAACAAUACUCUAUUUUUUUGUUUAUUUCUGUUGCGUAAGUGCAUAUAUAUCCCUUAGAACACGCGUUUUGAGAGUGACUCUUCCAUAAGACCCGUGUUAAAAAUCCUAACUUUCACUAUUUUUUUCGUUCUUAAAUGGUCGAUGACCCCAUCUGAAAUUUCGCACAUGUCAUUAUUGAUAAUCUAACUAUGAGAUAUUAAAAAAUUAUUUUUUUCUGUUGCGCAGACAUUCGCGACCGAGCCUCCUUAAUUCAAAGUUCAA